rnacentral:rRNA from 1 species
AGUGAACGCUGGCGGUAGGCCUAACACAUGCAAGUCGAACGGCAGCACAGUAAGAGCUUGCUCUUACGGGUGGCGAGUGGCGGACGAGUGAGGAAUACAUCGGAAUCUACUUUUUCGUGGGGGAUAACGUAGGGAAACUUACGCUAAUACCGCAUACGACCUACGGGUGAAAGCAGGGGAUCUUCGGACCUUGCGCGAUUGAAUGAGCCGAUGUCGGAUUAGCUAGUUGGCGGGGUAAAGGCCCACCAAGGCGACGCUCCGUAGCUGGUCUGAGAGGGUGAGCCGCCACACUGGAACUGAGACACGGUCCAGACUCCUACGGGAGGCAGCAGUGGGGAAUAUUGGACAAUGGGCGCAAGCCUGAUCCAGCCAAACCGCGUGGGUGAAGAAGGCCUUCGGGUUGUAAAGCCCUUUUGUUGGGAAAGAAAAGCAGCAGGUUAAUACCCCGCUGUUCUGACGGUACCCAAAGAAUAAGCACCGGCUAACUUCGUG